rnacentral:lncRNA from 1 species
CAAUUAGGACUCAAAAUAGGAUUUGUGUUUAAGUCCAUUUAAUUAAUUCCAUUGUUCCUUCUUCAACUGAUUAUCAAUCGAAUUGAUUACUCGUGAUUCAUAAUCACAUUUCAACCAUCAGAUCGGUCAAUACUUCUAGUGUGUGUGACCCCAUAGGUUCUAUUCUGACUGGUAGUGAGAUAUAUUGUGAUCUCUAUCUCAAUAUCACUGAAAACUCCUUUCAAUGGGUUGGAACGAUUCCAACUCUACUCAUUAGGGUUUAUCGAUCAUCAAGAUAAUCCCUGUGAGUCUCACCAUCCACCAGUGACACCUAGCAGCAUGUAGUGGCUAUCCAGCAGAAUGGAAUGAUGAACCUCUAGGUGCAGUUAUUAUGUGAUACAGUCCUACUAUCGUGGAUCCCUACAGGAUGGAGGUCAUGGACAACUCGUCAAACCCCAUCGUCUGUCGUAUGUGAAGAUUUAUUCGAUUUAAGUUCGAGAGUGGAAAACUCUUUCUCCACUGUGCAUACUGCCCAGGCCGAGGUCUUACGAACUCAGUCUUAUAAAUCACAUAGGAUCUCUCCUUAUCUAUCAAGGUCGAUAGAUUCCUUAUAGGUGCAUACCCUACUCCUACAGUAAACCUACUGCAGCCAAUCUACACUGCAUGGAACCAUAUGGCUAGAGACCAUGCAUGUGUGCAGUCAAACUACAAUAACCUUACUGUGAGUGGCCGAAGCACCGCAGGUCAAAGGACCAGUCACACUACUACAACAUCAAGCAAGUCACUGACGAGUGGAUAGACAUCCAAGUGACUUCUUGUCUUGAUCACGCUCAGUACCCUUGUUCUCUAACAAGCACCUGCACUAUUACUUCAGUGUCUCCAUACCGUGGACUCGAGUCUCGUCCAUCCAUAGGGAAAGUAAUGUGUGCACUGAUCUCAUCGGAUCAAUCACCGUCCUCGUGAUGAUCCAUCGAUCAGGAGCGUUUAGAAAUUAAUUACCUAUGAUACAUGGCUCAAAUUCUCAACUCUUGAGAAUAUGCAUCAUCAUCUUAUUAAUUUCUCGGACGAUUCAUAGACACAAUAACAAUAUGAAUGAAAAAGAUGGGAGGAUGAUAGUGUUAUUUUGAUGAUUAACAAGCAAUAAUCGAGAGUAUGUUAUAAGUUAAUUUGAUACUUCAUUUAUAAGUCUGUUACUCUCAGUAUAUUUGUAUAACAAGAUAAAUAUGCAUUUCAUUGUUUAUAUGAAUGAAUCUAACCUUGAGUUGCAGCAAAGUGUGGAUUGAGUCGACCCCAAGGAUGAUUGGAUCGACCCCGGCACAUCAAGAAAGCAUUUGGCACACUUAUGCAAAAAUGGCACAGAUGAACAGUAAGUUGGGUCGACCCAAGGAAAGCAUGAGUCG